rfam:Stegodyphus mimosarum contig56357, whole genome shotgun sequence.
GCCUUCGUGGUGUAAUGGUCAGCACACUGAGCCGGUAUUUCAGAGGUCACUGGUUCGAUUACCGGCGAAGGCC